CACGUAGGCGGCGACGUAAGUUGGGUGUGAAAUCCCUCGGCCCAACCGAGGAACUGCGCCCAGUACUGCGUUGCUUGAGGAUCAAAGGGGUGCAUGGAAUUCCCGGUGGAGCGGUGAAAUGCGUUGAUAUCGGGAGGAACUCCGGCGGCGAAAGCGGUGCACUGGUUGAUUUCUGACGCUGAGGUGCGAAAGCCAGGGGAGCAAACGGGAUUAGAUACCCCGGUAGUCCUGGCCGUAAACGAUGGGUACUAGGUAGGGGGAAACCAAACGUCUCCCUGCUGGAGUGAAUAUAUUAAGUACCCCGCCUGGGGAGUAUGGUCGCAAGGCUGAA
rnacentral:rRNA from 1 species